UACGGGGGGGGCAAGCGUUGUUCGGAAUUACUGGGCGUAAAGGGCUCGUAGGUGGCCAACUAAGUCGGACGUGAAAUCCCUCAGCUUAACUGGGGAACUGCGUCCGAUACUGGAUGGCUCGAGUUUGGGAGAGGGAUGCGGAAUUCCAGGUGUAGCGGUGAAAUGCGUAGAUAUCUGGAGGAACACCGGUGGCGAAGGCGGCAUCCUGGACCGAGAUUGACGCUGAGGCGCGAAAGCCAGGGGAGCAAACGGG
rnacentral:rRNA from 1 species